AACGAACGCUGGCGGCAGGCCUAACACAUGCAAGUCGAGCGAAGCCUUCGGGCUUAGCGGCGGACGGGUGAGUAACGCGUGGGAACGUGCCCUUUGCUACGGAAUAGCCCCGGGAAACUGGGAGUAAUACCGUAUGUGCCCUUCGGGGGAAAGAUUUAUCGGCAAAGGAUCGGCCCGCGUUGGAUUAGGUAGUUGGUGGGGUAAUGGCCUACCAAGCCGACGAUCCAUAGCUGGUUUGAGAGGAUGAUCAGCCACACUGGGACUGAGACACAGCCCAGACUCCUACGGGAGGCAGCAGUGGGGAAUCUUAGACAAUGGGGGAAACCCUGAUCUAGCCAUGCCGCGUGAUCGAUGAAGGCCUUAGGGUUGUAAAGAUCUUUCAGUGGGGAAGAUAAUGACUGUACCCUCAGAAGAAGCCCCGGCUAACUCCGUGCCAGCAGCCGCCGUAA
rnacentral:rRNA from 1 species